GUCAGUGUGGCGUAGUGGUUUGAGUGCUGGACUGCGAUUCUGGAGACCAGAAUUCAAUUCCCAGCUCGGUCA